GACCGUUAUAUGAUCCUAGGCCAAAAUGGCUUCUUUGUGAGCCCUUCUGACUCCCUGGCCAUCAUUGCUGCCAACCUCUCUUGCAUUCCAUAUUUCCAUCAGAUGGGGGUCCGCGGGUUUGGGAGGAGUAUGCCAACCAGCAUGGCCCUGGACAGUUUUCAACUUCUUUGCCUUUGGUUUGAAUGUCCUCCCGUAGCUCAGAGUAAUUUGAUCGUCUGAAGCCUUCUCUCAGCUCUUCAAAGUCAUUCUCCGUCCAGCUUUGUUCCGUUGCUGGUGAGCAGCUGCGUUCCUCUGGAGGAGGAGAGGCGCUCUGAUUUUUAGAGUUUCCAGUUUUUCUGUUCUGUUUUUUCCCCAUCUUUGUGGUUUUAUCUACUUUUGGUCUUUGAUGAUGGUGAUGAUGUACAGGUGGGUUUUUG
rnacentral:lncRNA from 1 species